rnacentral:rRNA from 1 species
AUUGAACGCUGGCGGCAGGCUUAACACAGGCAAGUCGAGCGGGGGAAGGUAGCUUGCUACUGGACCUAGCGGCGGACGGGUGAGUAAUGCUUAGGAAUCUGCCUAUUAGUGGGGGACAACAUCUCGAAAGGGAUGCUAAUACCGCAUACGUCCUACGGGAGAAAGCAGGGGAUCUUCGGACCUUGCGCUAAUAGAUGAGACUAAGUCGGAUUAGCUAGUUGGUGGGGUAAAGGCCUACCAAGGCGACGAUCUGUAGCGGGUCUGAGAGGAUGAUCCGCCACACUGGGACUGAGACACGGCCCAGACUCCUACGGGAGGCAGCAGUGGGGAAUAUUGGACAAUGGGGGGAACCCUGAUCCAGCCAUGCCGCGUGUGUGAAGAAGGCCUUAUGGUUGUAAAGCACUUUAAGCGAGGAGGAGGCUACUCUAGUUAAUACCUAGGGAUAGUGGACGUUACUCGCAGAAUAAGCACCGGCUAACUCUGUGCCAGCCGCCGCAGUAA